rnacentral:lncRNA from 1 species
UUGUUGUUGUUGUUGUUGUUUUUUUUUUUUUUUUUUUUUUUUUUUUUUUUUUUUUAUUUCAAAUAGAUUUUAUAUAUUGCAUAAAAUGUGCUAUUUUGGUGAAGCAAUCUAUGAUUACAAAUAUAGACUCAUAUGAACCUGAAAUUAGAAGAUUCAUGAUAAAAUACAUAAAAAUAGAAGACCAUGGUUGUUUUGGAAUUGAUAACAGUUGAAGAAGUCUAUAAGACCAAUGGUGAGAAGUUUUGGAUCUUGAAUAUAUAUUGCAUGAUUAUAUGAAGUCUUUGACUGCCUUCGACAUUUGAGGCCAGCAAAAAUCUUUGGAUAUAAGCUCUAAAGUCUUAUUGUAUCAAAAAUAUUGGAUUGUUAGAAAAUCAUGACGAGCUCGAAGGACAAGUAAUCGUGCCUUGCCUUUUGGAAUACAUAGGUGAUCUUUGAAAUAUAAUAGGUUGUUCUUGAAUUCAAACUUUGCAGUAUUAUAGGAUUUAGAGGAAGUAUUCUUGAUAUCAUAAACAAGAGGAUCAGAGGACAUACUUUAUUGAAUUUGCUUGAGAAAGGUUGAAUUAAUAGUCAAUGUUGAUUUUAUUGCUUAAAGAUAAAAAUACUUGAGCUUCAAGAUAAUCAUUCUUUAUUAAUCAAAAGAUGCAUCUCCUUCUUUUGGUACAAGAUAAAAACGUGUAGAAAGGAUGUCUGAUAGACCUUAUUAUUUUUUAGGUGGAUAAGUGAUCUUGAAAUUGAAUCUAGAUAAAGACAUGCUCCAACGGGCUUGAAUACAAUUCAAAAUAGGUGCUGAUAUGAAGUACUUGAGGUUCUUAUGAUCCAUAUACAUGGUUAGUAGACUUGAGGCGCCUUCUAGAUAAUGAGGCUAUUCUUGAAAUGAAUCCAUGAUUGCAAAGAGCUUUUUGUCAUAGAUCUCAUAAUUAAUCUUGGCUAUUAAAAAUUUCUUGAAAUAGAAAGUUAUUAGGUAGAAUUUGUCAUCUAUUCAUAUUUGUGACAAUAGAAUAUACAGCAAAGUCUAACGCAUUUGUUUCCAUAAAAAAUGCCUUAAAAAAGUUGACAUAAUAUAAGUUUGGUGCAAUAAUAAACUCCUUCUUUAUAGUAUUAAAUGAUGCUUCUGUUUCAUUAUUCCAUUGAAAUUUGUAUUUAUAAGUCAAACGUAUAAGUGGAGUUAUAACUUAAGAAAAAUUCUUGAUGAAGAUUUGGUAGUAAUUAACAAAGCUUGAAAAACAUUGCAUAUCUCCUAUUAUUCUUGAAAUCUUCCAAUCUAUGAUAAUUUGAAUCUUUUUGAAAUCUAUUAUAAGACCUUCAUUGGAAAUGAUGUACCCUAAAAAGUCAACUUGAGUAGUGUGGAAUACAUACUUUUUCAACUUGGCAUAUAAUCUUGCAUCUCUAAGUUUCUGUAAUGCGCGACAAAUAUGAAGUUCAUAUUCUUAAGUAUUCUUAGAGUAGAUUAGAAUGUCGUAUAAAUAGUAAAUGAUAAAAUUAUUGAAAAACUCAUGAAAAACAUCAUUCAUAAGAUGUUGAAAAGUAGCCAGUGCAUUUGUGAGUCCAAAAGGCAUGACAUUAUACUCAAAAUAUCCAUACCUAGUUCACAAAGUAGUCUUCUAUUGAUCUCCUUCUUUGAUACAAACUAAGUUGUAUACUCAUUGUAGAUCUAUUUUGGUAUAGAUCUUUGCUUGAUUGAAUUGGUCAAGAAGUCCUGAAAUCAAAGGCAAAGGAUACCUAUUUUUUAUGGAGAUCUUAUUGAGUCUUCAAUAAUCUACAUAUUUAUAGAGAUUCAUCUUUCUCCUUCAAAAAUAAGAUAGGAGCCCUUAAUAGAAAUUUAGAAUGGUGUAUGAAGUUUUUUGGCAAAUUUUUAUGAAUAUAUUCCUUUAAUGGAGCUUACUCAUUCUGUGAUAAGCUAUAGAUUGGUCCAAAUAGUAGUUGAGUUUUUUCUUGCAAAUCAAUUGAACAAUCAUAAGGUCAAUGCUUUGAAAGAAUAUCUACAUUCUUCUUUUAAAAAAUGUCUUAGAAUUCUUGAUAUUGGCUAGAAAUACUACUUGAUGUUUUUUCACCAUUAAAAAUUGACGUAGUAUAUAUAACAAAAGAUGAUCCUUCUUUUGUAGCAUACAUGAAAGCUCUCGCACUUAUCAGUAAAAAUUUGGAUAUAUUCGACUUAUAUACUUCUACUUCAUUAACUCAAUCUUGGAUUAUACUACCAAAAAAAUUAAGGUUACAAGAAAUCUAAUGUAUUUGAGAGUUAUAUUUUUUUAGCCACGACAAUCCUAAAAUAAUCAGAUUUGAUGGAGAUCUUAUUAUAUUAAAUACAACUGCACUGUUAUGAUCUUUAAUUGCUACAUCUAAAGAAAUAGUCUUAUGGAUAAUAUUUCCAAAAGUCUACAAAUGACCAUCUAUGAUUUCUACAUGUAUGGAUUUAGUUUUCUUCACUAAAAGUAUUUUUUGAUUUUUGACAAAAUCUAGGUCUAUAAAACAAGUUGAGGCUCUUGAAGCUAAUAAGACAAAGACUUUGUGAUUUUUAGGUCCUAAAAAUACAUCUAUUAUAAAAUAGGGUGAGGGAUCUAAAGAGAGAAUAUGACCUUUAUUAGGUGUUGCAUAUGAUUCCAACUGCAUUGUUCUUAUUGUAGCUGGAGAAACUUAUUUUUUGACAAAUUAUCUUCUUUGGUAAUUGUACUUCUCAUUUUGUAAUUGCAUUGCUUCUUUGGACAAUAUUGAGUAGUGUGCUUAGCUUCUCCAUAAUAUAAAUACAAAUCCUUUUGGCGAUGUUAAGUCUUUUCCUACUCCAUGAGAGAUUUAAAAUGUAUUGUAUUAAAUUGCAUUGAUUCUGGCCUUGAUGAAUAUGUUUAGGAAAACUUGGGAACUACUGCCAUUACUUGACUUAUUCUUUUCCAAUCAAAUCUUUGUUCUUAAUGCCUUUCAAAUAAUUGAUUGUCACAUGUAAUGGCUUGAGUAAUAAAUUAUUUCAAAGAUUUUGUUUUUGGUAUUAUUAAUAAUAAAUCUUUGAUGCUAUCCUUGAACCUAUAUCAAAAUUGAUUGAUAAGUGCUUUAUCAUUCCAAUCCAUAUUGCAAGCAAGAUUUUGGAAUUUAGUAGUAUAUAUGGUGAUUAAUUGUAAUCCUUCUCGUAAAGAUAAGAGUUUGGUUAUUAUUACUCAUUCUCAAUUAUUUCUUCAAACGUGAUUGUAAACACUUUUAAAAAUGAAUUUAAAUCAUAAAGAAUUUAUGAAUCUUUUUCUAUUAAAGGUACAAACUAAAAAAGAGCACUUCUAAAUAGAAAUGUGAUUAUGAAGUCGACUUGAGUAAAUCCAUCUGCGUAUUGAAAAAAGUGUAACCUUAAGUAGAGCUUAAUUUGUUGUAAAAAACCUCAAAAUUUUGAUCUUGUUCCAUUAAACUUUUGGGGCAUACUAAUUCUUAUCUCUCUUGAUUUUGUAGAAGUAAGAUCUCUUGAAUUUGGUUGUAAGGCUAAUCAACUUGUUUCUUUCAACUGCACAACUUUUUGAUAUAGACUCUAGACUUCUUCCAUAGAUAUAAAAGUAGUGCUCCUAUGAUUGACAUUGGUGUUGUGUGAAAUUUCUGCCCUGAGAGUGUUGACAAGCUUAAAAAGAUCCGCAAUAGUUGCAAAUCUAUUCUCAUUUUUGCUAAGAGUAGCAUCCAUAAUCUUUCCUUCUAUAGAUAAUUCAAACAAAUCUAAAAAGUUAAAUUAGAGGAGGGUAAUCCAUAACUUCUAAUAAAAAUUUCCACAAAGAGAGGUAAUUGUCUCCUUUUAACAAAAAGAUCAAUUUAAAAAAAUAAGAUCUUUUGUUUAAAGAUGAGUAGUUUGUAAUCUUCAAAAUAAAAUAAUAGAAGUGAAAUAAUCUACUCACUUCUAAAAUAAGUCAAAAAUAAUAUGUUAGUAUUCUUAUCAAACUGUUAAGGAUAUGAAUCUCAAAGAAAGAAAAUCCUAAACACACUCUUGUAUCACUUAAAAGAACUAAAAAGUCAUUCAAAGAUCAUAUAAUAUUGAAAUAGAAUGACAAUUUCCAAAACAAGAAGAUUAGAAAGACUUAGAAUAAGAAUAAAGACUAGAAAGGUGUUGAUAAGAAUGAAGGUUUCACUAUUGCCUCCAUAUAUACUCUCUAACUAGAAGCUACAUGGCAAUAUUCUAUAAAACCUCCAAUAUAUGUUGGCUUUGCUAGCCACAUGUCUUAACUUGUAAGACAAGUUAUCUACGUAUGCACCACAUAAUUAGCUUGUUCUAUAAGCUAUUACAUAGAGUUAACUUAUUCUACAAGCUACCAAUAUGUGAUUAACUUAUUAGCUAAGUUUUUAUCCUAAAAAUACAUCUAAAGUGAAAACUACAUCUAUAAAGCUUCUAAGAAGUUUUUUUAGAAGACUUUAUGAAAUUAAUCUAUAUUUAUAUAUACUUCUAUCUAAUUAUAUAAGUAACUAUAAGGAUAAAUAUUUAUGUCUAUGAUAACUUGGCAACAAUUCAAAACACAUGCUUAUAUAAAAUAUUCAAGAUUAUUGUAGUUGAUAUAAAAAAUGAUUGGAUAAGAAGAACCUUCUAGAUAAUAGCAUCAUUCUUAAAACGAAUCCACAAUUACAAGAAGUUCUUUAUUGUGAAUCUUGUAGUUGAUCUCGAUUAUUGAAAAAUUUCUUGAAUGAAAAGCUAUUAGAUGAAUUUUAUCAUUUAUUCCUAUUUAUAAUAAUAUGGCACCCAAAUCAAAGUUCAAUGUAUCUGUUUCAUAAAAAAUGGUUUAAAAAAGUCAAUGUAGUAGAAGAUUAGUGCAAAUAUAAAGGUUGUCUUCAAAGCUUCAAAUGUUGUUUAUAUUUCUUGAUUCUAUUGAAUUUUUUCUUUACAAGUCAAAUGUGUAAGUAGAGCUACAACUUGAAAAAAAUUCUUCAUAAAGAUCUAUUAGUAGUUGGCAAAUCCCAAAAAAUAUUAGACAUCUCUUUUUAUUUUUGAGAUCUUCCAAUCCAUAAUAAUUUGAACUUUUUUAGGAUCCAUCACAAGUCCAUCAUUUGAAAUGAUGUAUUCUAAGCAGUCAACCUGAGUAGUGUGGAAUAUAUACUCUUAUAUCUUGGCAUAGAGUCUUACAUUUCUUAGUUUUUGUAAUACACAACAAACAUGAAGUUUAUAUUCUUCUGUAUUCUUAGAAUAUAUUAAGAUGUCAUUUAGGUAACAUACAAAAAAGUCAUCUAAAAACUCUUAAAAAAUAUUGGAUGUUGAAAAGUUGCUAGUACAUUUAUAAGUCCAAAAGGUAUGACAUUUUAUUCAAAAUGUCCAUAUGUUAGGGACAUAGUGCUUAGAACCUUCUAGAGACAAGUUUCUAGAACCUUCUAGAGAUAAGUUUCUAGAACCUUCUAAAAACAAGCUUCUAGAACCUUCUAGAAGCAAGUCUCUGAAACCUUCUAGAAGCUUCUUAGUUGAUAGAAGAUGUUAGGGACAUAGUCCUUAGAACCUUCUAGAUAUAAGUUUCUAGAACCUUCUAGAUAUAAGUUUCUAGAACCUUCUAGAAGUAAGUCUCUGGAACCUUCUAGAAGCUUUCUAGUUAGUAGAAGUUACUUGAGAAGCUUCCUAAAUAGGAGUAUAUAUUGGAAUCGAGGCUGAAGAGUUCUUCAGUCUCGACAACACCUCUCUUGGAGCUCUAGCUCACCUCUCUGGUGUUGUUCUUGUAUUCAUCUGAUUAAUGUAGUUCUUGCCAGUUCUUCUGGAACUUCUUCGUAGAUAUCAAGUUUGUAUUCUAUGUCCGUGACAGUUUGUCGAGACUUCACUCACCUCAGAUAUCAAAGCUAGUUUCUUCUUUGUUAGAGUGUGGAUUAUCCCUCUAUUUGGAAGUGUACUAGCACUUUAGAGGUUGCGGAUUAUCCUCCUCUAAACUGAUACUUCUUUUGUUAUAAUAUUGGAGUCUUAUUCUUCUUGGAGAGAGUGGAUUACCCCUUUUCUUGAAGCUCUUAAGGCAUUUGUCACGGACACAAAAUACAGACUUGAAAUCUAACAAGAAGUUCAAGAAGAAGUGGCAGAACUAGAUUAAACAGAUGAGUACAAGAACAACACCAGAAAGGUGAGCUAGAACUCCAAGAGAUGUGUUGUCGAGACUGAAGAACUCUUCAGUCUCGAUUCCUAUAUAUACUCCUACUUAAGAAGCUUCUCGAGCUACUUCUAUUAACUAGGAAGCUUCUAGAAGGUUCCAGAGGCUUUCUUUCUAGAAGGUUCUAGAAACUUCUCGAGCUACUUCUAUUAACUAGGAAGCUUCUAGAAAGUUCCAGGGGAUUCCUUUCUAGAAGCUUCUAGAAACUUCUCUUCUAGAAGGUUCCAGAGACUUCCUUUCUAGAAGCUUCUAGAAACUUCUCUCUAAAAGGUUCCAGAGGCUUCUCUUCUAGAAGGUUCCAGAGGCUUAUUUUUUAAAAGGUUCUAGAAACUUCUCUCUAGAAAGUUCUAAGGAAUAUGUCCCUAACAGCAUUUUAGAGGUUGCGGAGUACCCUCCUCUAAACCAAUAUUGUCUUCUUGUAGAGUCAUUUUUGUCCUUCUCUUAGAAUGGUCGGGGGCCAAGACAUUAGUAUGACAAAAAGUUCAGAGUCCAAGUUAGAUGCUAUCAUAAAUGCCCUGGCUACGUUAUCGCAAAGAACUGCAGAGAUUGAAGGAGUCAUGGCAAGGCUUCAUAAUGAUGGAGCAUCUGGAAUGGCACAAUCUAGGUUGUACUAGCUUCAAACUUCUACACUUGGAGAAGCAACUUUACCUCAGGUUCGAUAAGCACCGCUGUUUUUACAACAUAAAGAAUCUCGAGAUAGCCUUCCGGACAAGUUCGAUGGUACGUAUUCCAAGUUUCGAGGAUUUGUCAACCAAAUCACAUUAAUAACAGCUUUACAGCCCGAACACUAUCUAACGGAGGAGUCACGUGUUGGGCUUAUUGGAACCUUACUUAUAGGACAAGCUCUAUCAUGGUUUGCUCCUUGGUUUGAGAAACGAUCGUCCAUACUAAAUAACUUUGAAACCUUUUUGGAGGCAUUUGCGGAAGCAUUUGGUGAACACAACAAGGUUCGAUGGGCUACAACAAAGAUCCGGUCACUACGACAAGGGAUGCGUUCUACAUCAGUCUAUGCAUCGGACUUUAGGGCAUGUUUAUUCAGGAAAACGAGGAUGCCGAGCCACAAUAGGAACCGUGCGACUGGACAGUGAAAUAUCACAACAACAACCAGAUUCCUUUCUUUCCGCUCAAUCUGUCCUUUGUUUUACAAUCCCUUUGCUUAUUGGCCCUCAAAAACUGAGAACCUUAGCAUUAUUAGAUUCACGAGCAUCUGCUUGUUUCUUAGACAAAGAAUUUGUAAAGCGUCAUAAGAUCCUUUUAGUACAAAAAUCCCAACCUGUUCACGUUGACGUCAUAGAUGGACGACCUUUAUUGUCUGGUAGUGUCUCCCAUGAAGCAAAACCUAUAGAAGUGACGUUUAAGGACCAUAGUAGUCAUAUUAUUUUCAAUAUUAUUAGAAUCCCAUCAAAUACUGUUAUUCUUGGUCUUUCCUGGUUGGAAAAAUAUAACCCAUCCAUAGAUUGGAAGUUGCAGAAGAUGACCUUUCCCACAAAACCACCCAAGAGCAAGCCUAGUAAAAAAUCCCGAAUAGAGAAAUCCUUAUUUAUUGGAGCAAGAGCGUUUAUAAGAUUGUCUAAGGGAGGCACACCGUUUGUCAUUUAUGCUGCUCCAACUACUGGGGAGAAGAUCUCGACAACAAGUAUACCGGAGCAAUAUAAGGAUUUUAAAGACGUGUUUCAAAAGAAAAAUGCUGACAUGCUACCGGAACACAAAUCAUAUGAUUGCACCAUAGACUUACAAGAAAGAGCACAACCGCCUUUUGGUCCAAUCUACAAUCUAUCGGAGAUGGAGUUGGUAGAGUUGCGGAAGUACAUCGACGAGAAUCUAGCCAAGAACUUCAUCUGUCAUUCAAAAUCGUCAACUAGAGCACCCAUCUUAUUUGUGAAGAAGAAAGAUGGCUCGUUGCGAAUGUGCGUGGACUAUCGAGGCCUCAACAAGAUAACAAAGAAGAAUCGUUACCUGUUACCCUUGAUUUCUGGUCUCUUAGAACAACUUGGACGUGCAAGGAUCUUUAUAAAAAUUGAUCUAAGGGGAGCUUACAACCUCGUACGAAUCAAGGAAGGAGAUGAGUGGAAGACAGCAUUCCGUACAAGGUAUGGCCAUUUUGAAUAUAAUGUCAUGCUCUUUGGCCUUACCAAUGCUCCAGCGGUCUUUCAACAUAUGAUGAAUGACAUUUUUCGAGAGUACAUUAAAGAUUUUGUUAUCAUCUAUUUGAAUGAUAUUUUGAUAUUCUCCAAAAAUGAGGAAGAGCAUAAAAAACACGUUCGUUUGGUAUUGGAGAAACUACGCAAGCGAGGACUAUAUGCCAAGUUGGAGAAGUGUUUAUUUCACCAAAUAGAGAUGGAGUUUCUGGGGUUCAUUGCAACUACGGAAGGCUUGAAGAUGGACCCAAGAAGAUGGAAGCAAUCGUGUCCUGGGAGGUUCCGAAGACGGUUAGAGACGUACAAUGCUUUCUUAGUUAUGCCAACUUCUAUCGGAUCUUUAUCAAGAAUUACUCUCAAGUUGUUGCUCCUCUCACUCGGUUGACAUGCAAGGAUAAGCUGGAAUGGGGACCUCUAGCAGAGAAGGCGUUUCAAAACCUGAAGACAGCAUUUACUACGACUCCAAUCUUGGUACAUCGAGACUUUACAAAGGCCUUUUAUUUAGAAACUGAUGCUUCGGAUUUUGCUUUGGGAGCUGUACUUUCACAAAUGGGAGAAGACAAGAAGCUCCAUCUGGUUGCAUUCUAUUCUCGAAAGUUCUUUGCUGCUGAAAUCAAUUAUGAGAUCUAUGAUAAGGAACUUCUUGCUAUAGUGGAUUCUUUCUAAGAAUGGCGUCACUUUCUUGAAGGAGCUGCACAUCCAGUGACCGUAUACACAGAUCACAAGAAUUUGGAGUAUUUCAUGUCGGCUCGAGUUCUAAAUCGACGUCAAGCUCGAUGGAGUAUGUUGCUAUCUAGGUUCGAUUUUAUUAUCACUUAUCGACCUGGAAAGCAGCAAGGACUAUCUGAUGCCUUAUCGAGGAGAUCAUAUCUUGUACCAAAGGCUAGAGAAGGAGCAUUUGAUCAACAAUGUAUGACAUUGUUGAAGCCAGAGCAAUUUCAGCUUUGCGCUACUAUUAUGCCAAUUGAUGCUGACUUCCUGAAUCAUGUACGUGCCGUAACCAUUGAAGAUUCAGUAGCCAUUGAUAUUAAGCAGCGUGCCAAUGACGACAAGUUUAAGGUGGAGGGAGAUCUUUUAUAUUUUGAAGAGCAGUUAUAUAUCCCAAAGGGACCAGCACGACUCCGAGUUCUUCAAUCUUGCCACGAUUUUCCAGCUCCGGGAAAUUUUGGAUUCAACAAGACCUUGGAGCUUAUUUCUCGAGAUUUUUGGUGGCCCCAAAUGUGAAAGGAUGUGAAAGAUUUUGUCCUCUCCUACAACAUUUGUUCAAGAUCCAAGAAUCCUCGACAUCGCCCUUAUGGACUCCUACAGCCAUUGCCAAUUCCACAUCGACCAUGGUCUUCAAUUUCCAUGGACUUCAUCACGGACCUGCCAUCAUCGAACUCAUUUGACAGCAUCUUUGUCGUGGUAGAUCAGCUUACAAAAAUGGCGCACUUUGUCCCUUGCAAGAAGACAUCGUUCAGUGAAGUCACAGCAAGGUUCUUUCUCGAUAAUGUGUAUCGAUAUCAUAGACUACCAGAUGAUAUCGUAUCAGAUCGAGGAACCCAAUUCGUAUCAAAGUUUUGGAGAUCUCUCUUUGAGAUAUUGAAGGUGGAUAUCAAGCUUUCUUCAGCUUUUCAUCUUCAAACUGAUGGUCAAACGGAACGAAUGAACCAAGUCUUGGAACAAUACUUACGAUGCACCAUCAACUAUCAGCAAGACGAUUGGAUCACAUAUCUGUCGCUAGUCGAGUUUACAUAUAACAACAUCCUCCAUGCGUCGACUCAAUAUACACCAUUCUUUUCCAACUAUGGGUAUCAUCCAAAGCUUGAUUUAUUCAGUCCAUCAAUAAAUAACAAUCUAGGAGCUGAAGGAUUUGUGAAACAACUAUCAGAGCUUCAAAAUACGUUGAAGCUUCAAUUACAAUCCGCUCAAAAAUCCUACAAGGCGUUUGCAGAUAGAUUUCAAAAUCAAGCACCUACUUUCAAAAUUGGAGAUAAAACAUGGCUUCUUCGAUGGAAUAUCAAGACCAAGCGACCAUGUGAUAAGUUGGACUAUCGAAGAUUGGGACCAUUUAUCAUCCAAAAGCAAAUCAAUCCAGUGGCGUACUGUCUGGAAUUACCAGCUUCUAUGAAGGUACAUCCAGUCUUUCAUGUUUCUUUGUUGGAGCCUUAUCGAGAGUCAUCUUUUCCUGGAAGAGUGCAAUGUCCACCACCUAGUAUUGAGAUCGAGAACCAUGACGAAUACGAGGUUGAAAAGGUACUGGAUUCUCGGUGAAGGUAGGGCAAGUUGGAAUAUCUUGUUCAUUGGUGCGGCUACGACAUUAAUGAGCGAACAAGGGAGCCAGCUGAAAAUCUCACCAAUGCGCCGCAAAAGAUACAAGAGUUUCAUCAACAACAUCUUCAUAAACCUAAGCCGAUUCGACAAUAGCUUCUUUCUAAAGCUUGCUCACCCAAGAAUAUAAGAAAGGGGGAGAGCACCACCAAAAUUCGUAGUUAAUGUAGUUAUUUUUUCCAAGAUAAAAUAGAAUUUUUUCAGUAGCCAUAGUUUGGUCUUCUGAUAUGGAUAGCCAAGAGAUAGAUACUAUGCCAGUCAGAUUAUUUCAACCAACUAGUUCACGAAGGCGACCCCGAGAUGAAGAACCACCUGCACCACGACGACGACGGAGGAUACCAAGUAACCGAUCACUGGUGAUUGUAUUUGAGUCCCAGCCUGCUUACGAUGGUCAACGAGAAGGCAUAUUUGUAAGACAAUUUCACAAUGAAGACAUGGAAGUUCAUGCUUGGUCAGAAGUUGAAGGAGUGGGCCACUAUCGUUGGCUUCAAGGGUGGAUGAACCACUUACCUCGUGAACAACAGUUGGAGUUCAUAGCAGACGUUAUGCGACAGAUCUUCAUUUUCUUGUGUUGGUACUGAUUGACAACAACAUUGCUUCUCAAAGACCUCGAAGCUAAAAGAGAGGAUGAUGUUAGGGACAUAGUCUUUAGAACCUUCUAGAGACAAGUUUCUAGAACCUUCUAGAGACAAGCUUCUAGAACCUUCUAGAAGCAAGUCUUUGGAACCUUCUAGAAGCUUCUUAGUUGGUAGAAGAUGUUAGGGACAUAGUCCUUAGAACCUUCUAGAGAUAAGUUUCUAGAACUUUCUAGAAGCAAGUCUCUGGAACCUUCUAGAAGCUUCUUAGUUGGUAGAAGAUGUUAGGGACAUAGUCCUUAGAACCUUCUAGAGAUAAGUUUCUAGAACCUUCUAGAAGCAAGUCUCUGGAACCUUCUAAAAGCUUCCUAGUUGGUAGAAGUUACUUGAGAAGCUUCCUAAAUAGGAGUAUAUAUUGGAAUUGAGGCUGAAGAGUUCUUCAGUCUCGACAACACCUCUCUUGGAGCUCUAGCUCACCUCUCUGGUGUUGUUCUUGUAUUCAUCUGAUUAAUCUAGUUCUUGCCAGUUCUUCUUGAACUUCUUCGUAGAUAUCAAGUCUAUAUUCUGUGUCUGUGACACCAUACUUUAUUCAAAAUAUAAUCUUCUAUUCAUUUCUUUCUUUGAUGUGUAUCAGAUUGUAUGCUCUUUAUAGUCUAUUUUUAUAUAGAUCUUAGCUUGAUUCAAUUCAUCAAAAAUUCUAGAUAUUAAAGGUAGCGGGUACCUAUUCUUCAUAGUGAUUUUGUUGAAUCCUCAAUAAUUGACACAUAUCCGUAAUAAUUCAUCUUUUUUCUUUACAAAUAAAAUUAGAACUCAUAUUAGAGAUUUGGAAAGACAUAUGAAGUUCUUGGCGAAAUUUUUUUCAAUAUACUCCUUGAAUUCAACCAACUCAUUUUGUAAUAAACUGUAAAUUAGUCCAAAUGGCGGUUGAGCUCUUUCUUAAAGAGCAAUUAAGCAGUCAUAGGGAUAAUGUUCUUAUAGAAUAUUUAUAUUUUUUUUUCUCAAAUAUAUCUUAAAAAUCUUAAUAUUGGAUUGAAAUGCCACUUAAAGUCUUUUUAUUAUUAGAAAUAAGUGCAACAUAAAUGACACAAGGUAAUCCUUCUUUUGCAGAAUACAAAAAAGCUUUGCACCUAUAAAUACAUGUUUAAUUGCACUAGACUUAUGAAUUUCUACUUAAUCAACUAUAUUCUUAGUUAUACUUUUAAAAAAUCAAGACUACAAGAAAUCCAAUCUAUUUUUGAAUUAUAUUUUUUUAACUAUGAUAAAUCUAAAAUGAUUGGAUUAAAGGAAGAUCUAAUGAUAUUAAAUAUUACAAAGCUAUUAUAACUAUUAUUUGUUACUUUUAUAGAAAGGAUUUCAUGAAUAAUAUUUCUUAGAGACAAUGGAUGACCAUCUAUGAUUUCUACGUAAAUAUGUUUAGUUUUCUUUACUAAAUGUAUGCUAUGUCUUUUAGCAAAUUCUUCAUUUAACGAACACGCUAAGAUUCUUGAAUUUAACAAGACAAAGGCUUUGUGAUGUUUAGGUCCUAAAAUAAUAUUUAUUGUAAAACAAAGAGAGGAUUUUGAAGAGAGAAUAGAACCUUCACAAGAUAUUGAACAAGGUUCCAACCUCACAAUCUCUAUUGUAACUGGACAAACUUAUUUUUUGACAUACUAUCUUCUUUAAUAGCCAUAUUAUUUAUUUUGUGGUUAUGUUGCUUCUUUAGAUAAUGUUGAGGAAUGAACUUAGCUUUUCUACAAUAUAAGCAUAAUUCUUUCUAACAACAAAGAUUUUUUUUUUUGUUUAGUAAGAGGUUUGAAAUGUACCACAUCAAUUUGCAUAUCUUCUACUUUUGAAUGUAUGUAUUGAGAAGAUAUUAGUAUUGUCAUUAAAUAAUAGUAGCAUUGAGGUGUACUUGUGCAACUUUCAAAUCAAAAUUCAAAAAGUCAAUUGUCACACCUCAUAAUAAAGUCAAUUGCUUGACUCAAUAUUUGAGGAUCAAAUAAGUUGAACAUCAAUUUUUUUCACUUCAUAUUGGAAUUCAUAGAAAAAUUAAUUAAUAAAUGCAACAUCAUUCCACUUGAUAUUAAUUAUAAGUUGUCAAAAUUGUGAAGCAUAUAACAUUAUCGAUCAAUUGCUUUGUCACAAAAUACAAAUCUUAUUAGUUAUAACACAAAUUACAUCAUGUUCUCUAUACAUGGAUCAAAACUUUAUCAAAAAAAAGCCUAUAGAUUAUCUAAUAUUGAAUCUCAUCGUUCAAAAAAAGAUGAUAAAUCAUAAUAAUGCUAAAAAAUAAUAUACAAAUAAAUCUAAUUUGUAAUCUUAGAGCUGGAUAGCUUUAAAAUUGAAGUUCAAUCACAAGUUGUACUUGAUUGAUAAAUCUUUAAAAGUUAGAACUUAUGCCAUCAAACUUCUUGAGCAAUACAAUCCUUGGUUUUUUAACACUAGUAGGAUGUUCUACCAAAGGAAAAGGAAUAUGAUUUGGUGCAGAUGUUGAAGCAGCUUCAAUCAUCACUAUAUCUUUGCUUCUUGCCAUUCUUAUUAUUCCUUGUGGUCGUAAAUUGAAUUGAUACAUUGCAAGCAUUAACUCCCUCAAUUGCUCUUAUAUUUGUGCCAUUGCACUCUUCAUUUCAAAAAGCUCUAUCAUGAUAAUUUUUAAAAAAGGGAAGAUGCCUAAUAUUGCUCAAGACAAAUAAAAGAGAAGAUUUAAAAACAAAGAAAAAAUACUAAAGACAAUAUCAGUUUGGGAGAGGGUAAUCUACAACUCCUAAUAUACUUAAGUCUUAUGAAGAAAAAGAAGUAAUCUACUCUUAAUCAAGAAAAGCUCUGAUAUUGUAAGAGUACUCUUGUCAAUUUGUUAAGGAUAAGAACUUGAUGAAAGCAAAUAAACAAGUGAGACUCUUUCAAAGAAAUAUGACAAAAUAUAAAUAGAGAAUUAUGUAUAUUAAAAAGAAAACUAGAAUGGCUAUUGCUAAAAGACAAGGAAACUAAAGACUCUUGAAACUAGACUAAAAACAAGAAAAGAAUGUACAAAAAUAAAGAAGGCAUCACUCUUGCCUUUAUAUAUACUAUCUAUUUAGGAUCUAUAUGGCAAAAUUUUAUAAGACAUCUAAAAAUAUGAUGACUUUACAUGACACAUAUCUUAACUUACAAGGCAAAUUUUUUAUAUAGACGCCACAUAGUUAACUUGUUCUCUAAACUACUAACACAUGUGGCAUGUAGUUAGCUUGUUGAUCAAGUUUUUAACCUAUCAAUUAACUAUAAAUACAUGUAAAGUCAAAUUAGCGACUGCAAAGCUUUUAGGAAGCUUUUCUAUGAGGUAUUAUGAAAUCAAUCUACUUUUACCUAAUUUCAUCUAUUCAUAUUAUCUAGAUAAAAAUUACAAUAUAUAUAUAUAUAUAUAUAUAUAUAUAUAUAUAUAUAUAAUAGUUAGUUGGAUACUAAUAAGGCUGAAAGGUAUAAAAACAACAACCUACAAUAGAUAAAUAUUAAAAUAUAAAAUUUAAAUAAAUCAAAUAAAUAAAGGAGGGUGUCCACUUAUUAAUUUUGUUAGAUGGAUACCAAUUAUUAUUAUUAUUAUUUAUUUGGAUUAAUUAACUAUUAAGUUUCUAAUUUUUUUAUAUUGUAGACACAACUAUUACAAGUUUUUUAAUAUACCACUUAAUACAAAAAAAUUAUCUACCUAAUGAUUUUUUAUUUUAAAUGUAUAAUAUGCAUCUAUUAGAAUUAAAAUCAAAUGUUACAUUAGUAUGUCAAAACUACAACUUUAAAACCUUUGCUAACAAGCACAUAUUAAUAUUUAUAAAAUUAUACUUUAAUGCUUAUCAAAUGCACUACUAAAUAUUCAAUAAUUUAUUUAUUUAUUGUUACACUUAUUACUUGAAUGAUUCUUUUUUUUAUAAAUAUAUAUAUAUAUAUAUAUAUAUAUAUAUAUAUAUAUAUACAUAAUAUUUCAUCAUUUUUCUUAUUAAUACAUAUGUAGCUCUAACUAAUAUAAGAAUGUAUUUAUCUUUUGUUUUUGUAAUGUAAUAUAUACAUGCAAAACAUACAUGCAUAAAAAAACAUAAAUAACAGAGUUAGAAAUAUGUCAUCUAAUAUUUUGAUAAUAUUUCAUAUUAUUUCAUAACUUUGUUUUACAUAACAUAUCUAUUGAAGUUUUUAUUUUGAAUAAAUACUAAAAGAUGUCCAAGUAAGCUAAAGAUUACAUAUGGGAUCAAUGUACUAACUUAGUUGGUAUUUUUGUUAAAACUAUAAACUCAACAAUCUAAUGUUUAUAUAUUUUUGUUACAGCUAACCCAGUUGUAUAAUAUUUCAAUAUUUGGGGUUUUAAAUAUACAACGAAAUAUUCAUGUACAAUAUGUACUUUUUUAUGUUAUAACUAAAUAAGCAAUGGUCUACAUAUGUAAUUUCAACAUGCAGUAAAGUCCGCAUUUAUGAAUUAAUAAAAUCGGAGUACUACAACAAGCUAUCGUAUAUUCAACCUGUUGAGAGCAUUAAAUAUAGCCAGUGCUCUCUAUAAUAUUUACUAUAAUCUACAAUAAAUACUAUAGCUAUAUUAUUUGGAAUGUAGUCGAGAAAAAUUGUUUAUCCUCUCUCAUUCUCUUCUUGUAUAUGAGACACAAUUAGAUCAAUAGACUUUUGUGUAAAGUUCUCUUUCCUUAGAAACUCUCUUGUAUGUGUGUGUAUUACUUACUACUACUCUUAAGUCUUUCUAAAUAUUCUCAACACGUUAUCAGUAUAACUCUCUUCUAUACACUAUCAUAAUUUUUUUCUUUGCUCUAAUCUUGACUCUUCAAACUUGUUGCUACUCUUGCUCCUUGUAUGAUUUAUAAUCUUGCUACACUUCUUGCUGAUCCUUCACACAUUAGCUACUUGCUUAUAGUACUUGCUCCACUUUAUGCCCUACUUCUUUAGAAUACUUGCUCUAGAUCAACUUCCCUAUUGUACCUUUUGCCUGUUGCCAAAAUUGUAGUCCCUGCUUGCUGCUGACCAUGCCAUUGAUUCUACCACUAAUAUUGUCCUAUCGCCAUUGCUGACCGCCAACUGCCACUGACUCUACCAUUGAUUGCCAUUGUUAUUGCUGCAUUGCCGCUGUUGUUGACUACCAACUAUUAUUCAAUAAUCCCUGACUCUAUCGUUGAUUGCCACUAACUCUUGUUGUCACCCUACUGCCAUCGCUUCGUCACCAUCGACCUCUUGUUGCUGCUGUUUUGCUGCCACAAUUAAUAAUUUUGUUGAAUAAUAAUAAUAAUAAUAAUAAUAAUUAAUUAAUAUUUUUGAUUUUAAGUUCAAUUUUAUCAUUUUAUUUGACUUUAUAUUUUAAAGUACAUUAUACUCAACUUUUCUACUUGAUCUUGUAUUUUUUUUAUAGAUUUAUUUAAAAUGAGUGCUUCAACAUCUUCAACUGCUUCUACUAUGGUUCUAACUAUUACCAGUGCAUCCCAACAUUUUCAAGCUCUUUUAUUUCCACCUUUGAUUGUGCAUAGAAACAAUUAUCUAAUAUGGGCAAAAAUGACAAAAACAAGUUUAUUUGCAGAACAACUCUUUGAUGCCAUUAUGUUUGAAGAAUGUCCUACAAUAAGUAUUUCUAUUCUUCUUGCUAUCUGUUGGAAAGCACUUCUUCUCUUUCAUCAUCAUCUUGUACAUGUAUUAUAAUAUGAAUAUUUAGAAAUGGAAGAUCUUGAAAAACUUUGGAAGAAUCUUAAAUCCAGGUUUGAUCAUCAAAAGAACAUUUUCCUUCCACGUACAUGUUAUAAUUGGACACAUUUAUGUAUCUUGAAUUUUCUAAAUUUAAAUACUUUCAAUAGUAAAAUAUAUAGUAUUAUCUCACAAUAUUGAUUAUGUGGAUAAAGCAUCUCUAAAGAAGAAAUGAUUGAAAAAGUUCUCUCUACAUUUCCUCUUGUAUCUGCUGUGCUUGCACAACAAUAUAGGAAUAUGAAAUUUUAGUCAUUCUGAUCUCAUGUCCUAUUUAUUUCUUGUGGAAAAGCAAAAUAAGCUACGCUUCUACAAUACAGAAGCUUGUCCUAUUGGAACCACAGUUCCAGAAUCUCAUGUACUUAAUAUUUCAAAGUCUAAAAAAAAAAAUUAUAUAAACAUGAAAAACGUGCUCAUAAGCAUCAAGGUAGUGUCACGGCCAUAAUGAUGUAAGCUAAUAAUUACAUAUAGAAAUAGAUAGAAGUAAGUAAAAGUAAGUUAAUUCUAUAAUAUUUAAUAUGGAAGCUUCUAAGAAACUUCUUAGAUGCUGCUUUGACUUCAUAGGUGUCUUUAAUUGACUUUUUGGAUUAGAAACGUGGUCAACAAGUUGGCCAUGUGCCACACAUGUUGUUAGCUUGAAGAUCAAGUUAAUUAUGUAGCCCACACGUAGAAAAACUUGCCUUGUAAGUCAAGGCAUGUACCCUACAAAGUCAACACAUAUUGGAGGUCCUAUAGAACGUCGCCACGUAGCCCCUAGUUAUAGAGUAUAUAUAGAGACAAGAGUGAAGCCUUCUUCACUCUUGUCAACUCCUUUCUUGCUUCCACUCUAGUUUCAAGGGUCUCUAGUUUUCUUGUCUUUUGACAAUAGCCAUUCCAGUUCCUCUUUCAAUAUACAUACUUGUUUAUAUAUAUUUUCUUACCUCUCUUUGAGUGAAGGCUCACUUGUCCGAAUUGAUUUUUCAUCGAGUUCUUAUCCUUGACAGAUUGACAAGGGUACACCUACAAUAUCAGAGCUUUAUCUAAACUUGAUUAAGAGUGGAUUACCCCUUUUUCUUCAUAAGAUAUAAGCGUAUUAGAAGUUGUGGAUUACCCUCUUCUAAACUGAUAUUGUCCUUAGUAUUUUUUUUCUCCGCAAGUCCUCUCUUCUAUUUGUCUUGAGCGAUAUUAAACAUCUUCUCUCUUCUAAGUGUUAUCAUGGCAGAACUUCUUAAAAUGAAGAGUGCAAUGGCACAAAUGUAAGAGCAAUUGACGGAGUUAAUGCUUGCAAUGCAUCAACUCAAUUUACCACCACAAAGAGCAACAAGAUUGGCAGGAAGUAAAGAUAUAGAGAUGGUUGGAGCUGCUUCAACAUCUACACCAAACCAUGUCCUUUCUCCUAUGGUGGAACACCCUUCAAAUGUUAGAGAACCAAGAAUUGCCCUACCCAAGAAGUUUGAUGGCACCAUAUCCAAGUUUUGAAGAUUUAUCAAUCAAGUGCAACUUGUGAUUGAACUUCAACCCCAAAGCUAUCCAAUUCGAGGAUCACAACUUAGAUUCAUUGGUACGUUUCUUUCAGGUUCGGCACUAUCGUGGUUUUCAUCUUUUCUUGAAUGACGAGAUCCAAUAUUGGAUAAUCUAGAGGCUUUUUUGGCGGAGUUUUGAUCCAUGUAUGGAGAAUAUGAUGCAAUUCAUGUUGCAACCAAUAAGAUCUGUAUUUUACGACAAGGCAAUCGAUCAGUAACAUUAUACGCUUCACAAUUUUGACAACUUGCAACUGAUAUCAAGUGGGAUGAUGCUGCACUUAUUAGCCAAUUUCUUUAUGGAUUACAAUAUGAGGUAAAAAAAUUAAUGCUCAACUUACCUGAUCCUCAAACAUUGAGUCAAGCAAUUGACUUUGAUAUGAAGUGCGACAAUCGCCUUUUUGAAUUCCGAUCUGAGAACCGUACAAGUUGACUUCAACGUUACUAUAAUUCAAUGGCAACACCAACACCUCUUCAACACAUACAUUCGGAAGUAGAGGAUAUGCAAAAUGAUGCAGUACGUUUUAAACCUCUUACUGAGCAAGAAAAGACUCGUCAUCGUCAAGAAGGAUUAUGUUUAUAUUAUGGAGAACCAAAGCAAACUGCUCAACAUUGUCCAAAGAAAUGACACAAUCACAAAAUGAGGAGUAUGGCUCUGAAAGAAGACAAUAUGUCAGAAAACGAGUUUAUCGAGCUACAAUAGGGACAGUGCGAUUGGAACCUUGCACAACAUCUAGUAAAGGUCCUAUUCUCUCCUCGGAGCCCUCUCCUUGUUUUACAUUAAAUGUUAUUUUAGGACCUAAAUAUUACAAAGUCUUUGCCUUGUUAGAUUCAGGAGCCUCAACAUGUUUCUUAGAUGAAGAAUUUACUAAAAGACAUAGCAUAUCUUUAGUAAAGAAAACUAAACCUGUUCAUAUAGAAGUCAUAGAUGGUCGUCCAUUAUCUUCUAGAGAUAUUACUCACGAAACCCUUCCUAUACAAGUAAUAAUCAAUAGUCAUAAUAGUUUUGUAGUAUUUAUAAUCAUUAGAUCUCCCUCUAAUCUAGUCAUUUUAGGUUUAUCGUGGUUAGAAAAAUACAACCCUCAAAUAGAUUAGAUUUCCCGAACUCUUACUUUCUCUAAAAGUAUAACUAACAGUGUAGUUAAGCAAGUAGAGAGUCAUAAGACCAGUUCAAUUAAAUCCGUAUUUAUAGGUGUAAAAGCUUUCUUGCAUGCUGCUAUGAAAGAAUCACCAUACAUUAUUAAUGCCACACCCGUUUCUACUGGUGAAAAGACUUCAAGUGGCAUUCCAAGCCAAUAUCAAGAAUUUCAAGAUGUAUUUGAAAAAAAGAAUGCGGAUACACUCCCAAAACAUCGUCCCUAUGAUUGUUCAAUUGACCUCCAAGAAGGAGCACAACCGCCAUUCGGACCAAUCUAUAGUUUAUCACAAAAUGAGUUGGCUGAACUCAAGGAGUAUAUUGAAGAAAAUCUAGCCAAGAAUUUCAUACGCCAUUCUAAAUCUCCUGCAGGAGCUCCAAUUCUAUUUGUGAAGAAAAAAGAUGGAUCAUUGUAGAUGUGUGUUGAUUAUCGAGGACUCAACAAGAUUACCAUCAAAAACAGAUAUCCACUACCUUUAAUAUUUGGACUUCUUGAUCAGCUGAAUCAAGCUAAGAUCUAUACAAAAAUAGAUCUUCGGGGAGCAUACAAUCUAGUACGCAUCAAAGAAGGAGAUGAAUGGAAGACUGCGUUUCAAACUAGGUAUGAACAUUUUGAAUACAAUGUCAUGCCUUUUGGACUCACAAAUACACCAGCAGCUUUUCAACAUCUAAUGAAUGAUAUUUUUUGAGAGUUUUUGGACGAUUUUGUGGUAUGUUAUCUAGACGACAUCUUGAUCUAUUCUAAGAAUCCAAAAGAACAUGAUCUUCAUGUUUGUCAUGUGUUACAAAAAUUAAAAGAUGGAGGACUCUAUGCCAAGAUAGAAAAGUGUGUAUUCCACACUACUCAAGUCGAUUUCUUAGGUUACAUCAUUUCAAAUGAUGGACUUAUGAUGGAUCCUAAAAAAGUUCAAACUAUUAUAGAUUGGAAGAUCCCAAAAACGGUAAGAGAUAUCCAAUGUUUUUUAAGAUUUGCCAACUACUAUUGGAUCUUCAUCAAAGACUUCUCUCGAGUUGCAGCUCCACUUACACGUUUGACUUAUAAAGACAAAUUCCAAUGGAAUCAAGAAGCGGAAGUUGCUUUUGAAUCUUUGAAGAUAGCGUUUGUUUCUGCACCAAUCCUUUAUCGUGUUGAUUUUUCCAAAGUAUUCUUUAUGAAAACAGAUGCAUCGGACUUUGCUCUGGGUGGGAUUUUAUCACAAAUGGGAAUAGAUGAAAAACUUCAUUUAGUAGCCUUUCAUUCAAGAAAAUUCUCAACAGCAGAAAUCAAUUAUGAGAUCCACGACAAAGAACUUCUUGCAAUUAUGGAUUCUUUUCAAGAAUGGCAUCAUUAUCUACAAGGUGCUCAAAUCCAGUCACCGUAUAUACGGAUCACAAGAACCUCAAAUAUUUUAUGUUAGCAUGCGUAUUAAAUGGUCGCCAAGCUUGUUAGAGCAUGUCUUUAUGAAGAUUUGAGUUCAUCAUCACUUAUCAGCGAGAAAAACAACAAGGUUUAUCUGAUGCCUUGUCUAGACGUUCUUAUCUUGCACCAAAAGAAAGAGAUGCAGCUUUUGAGCAACAAAGAAUAGUUCUCUUGAAGCCAAAACAAUUUCAUCUUCAAGGAAUAAAAUCAACAUUGACUGUUGAUUUAACUUUUUUUAAACAAGUCCAAUUAAGUAUGUCUUCAGACCCUCCCGUUCAUGAUAUCAAGAAUAAUUCUUCUAAAUCUCAUGAUCCAUCUAAAUUUGAAUUUAAGAACAACCUACUCUAUUUCGAAGGACGCCUAUAUGUUCCAGAAGGAGAAGUACGUUUACGUGUUCUUCAAGCUUGUCACGACUUCCCAGCAGCAGGACAUUUCGGAUAUAGUAAGACUUUGGAGCUGAUAUCUAGGGAUUUUUGGUAGCCUCAAAUGUAGAAGGCAGUUAAAGAUUUUGUACAAUCAUGUGAUGUUUGUUCAAGAUCGAAAAUUCCUCAUCAUCGACCUUUUGGACUUUUGCAGCCAUUACCUAUUCCAGAACAACCAUGGUCUUCUGUUUCUAUGGACUUCAUCACGGAUCUUCCAAUCUCAAGUUCUUAUGACUCUAUAUUCGUGAUAGUAGAUCGUUUUACCAAGAUGGCACAUUUUGUACCAUGUACAAAAUCUAUCACAAGUGAAGAAAGAGCUAAGCUCUUUCUUGACAAUAUCUAUCUCUAUCAUGGAUUACUCAAGGAUAUUAUAUCAGAUAGGGGAACACAAUUUAUAUCAAGAUUUUGGCAGACUCUUUUCAAGAUUCUUAAAGUGGAUAUAAAACUAUCUUCGGCAUUCCACCCUCAAAUUGAUGGAAAAACAGAGCGUGUUAAUCAAGUUUUGGAACAAUAUUUAAGAUGUACCAUUAAUUACCAACAAGAUGAUUGGACAACUCUUUUGCCAUUGGCAGAGUUUGCUUACAAUAACACGGUACACUCUUCUACAAAACAAACACCUUUCUUUGCUAAUUAUGGUUAUCAUCUAUGACUUGAUACUUUUGACUUUUCAAAAGUUGAUAAUCUUGCUGCGAAAGAUUUGGCAAUUCAUUUAUUAGAGCUACAUGCAACGAUCAAGGCGCAGUUAAAAGAGGCUCAAGAACAACAAAAGGCCAAUGCGGAUGUCUAUCGAAAGGAACAACCAUCAUUCAUCUUGGGUGAUAAGGUAUGGCUACUUCGUCGUAAUAUCAAGACCACUCGUUCUUGUGACAAGUUGGACUAUCGAAGGCUGGGACCAUUUUCUAUUUUUGUACAAAUCAAUCCAAUAGCAUAUCGUUUAGAUCUACCAGAGUCAAUGAAAAUCCAUCCAGUAUUCCACGUGUCUCUUCUUGAACCAUACAGGACACUGGACAUACCAAGAAGAUGACAAGUUCCACCUCCUCCUAUAGAAGUGGACAAUAAUAAAGAGUUUGAAGUAGAAGAAGUCUUAGAUUCAAGGCGGCGCCGAAAUAAAUUAGAAUAUCUUAUCCAUUGGCACGGAUAUGAUAUUAGUGAAUGCACAUGAGAGCCAAUAAAAAAUCUUGUAAAUGCAGCAAAGGCGGUGGAGGCUUUUCAUCGACGACAUCCAUCAAAAUCAAGAUGAAAACCUUCUUUAUAAAAGAAACAACAUCUAGACAAGAUAACAUUCUACUUUCAAUUCUUGUUCGUAGCUUCGUUGUAGUAGUGGCGCUCAGGAGAUGGAGAACCAACAACCAGUGGAUUCAACUCAAGAGCCUUCAUUUGCUGUCCUGUCGGAUGAGACAUUACGAUUGUCACAACCUUCAAGACGACGCAAUCGAGAUGAAGAUCUUUAAGAACGACAUGUUCUUCCUCGAAUAGAUGGUGAGAUAUAAUGCAUUUGGUAUCACGAUUUGGGAAGGGACUCCCGAUGUUUGGUAAUUGUGCUAGAGGUAGGAACAACUCCUGAUGGUGUUCCAAAUAUUCUAUUCGAAGGAAGUUACGAAGGCCUCAACAAUGAUCAAAUAAGUAGGUGGUCUUCCCGCCCUGGUAUGGGAUACUACCAAUGGUUGAGAGGCCCUAUCAAUCAUCUUCGAAGAGAACAGAGAUCAGAGUAUGUGGCGAAUACAAUUCAUCGCAUCAUAGAUUUCUUCAACAUAUGAUGACCGCUCCUUGUAGAACUCGUCCCUAGAAGGGGGGUAAUGUCACGGCCAUAAUGAUGUAAGCUAAUAAUUACAUAUAGAAAUAGGUAGAAGUAAGUAAAAAUAGAUAAAAGUAAGUUAAUUCUAUAAUAUUUAAUAUGGAAGCUUCUUAGAAACUUCCUAGAUGCUGCUUUGACUUCAUAGGUGUCUUUAAUUGAUUUUUUGGAUUAGAAACGUGGUCAAUAAGUUGGCCAUGUGCCACACAUGUUGUUAGCUUGAAGAUCAAGCUAACUAUGUGGCCCACACGUAGAAAAACUUACCUUGUAAGUCAAGGCAUGUAUCCUACAAAGUCAACACAUAUUGGAGGUCCUAUAGAAUGUCGCCACGUAGCCCCUAGUUAGAGAGUAUAUAUAGAGACAAGAGUGAAGGCUUCUUCACUCUUGUCAACUCCUUUCUUGCUUCUAGUCUAGUUUCAAGGGUCUCUAGUUUUCUUGUCUUUUGGCAAUAGCCAUUCCAGUUCCUCUUUCAAUAUAUAUACUUGUUUAUAUAUAUUUUUUUACCUCUCUUUGAGUGAAGGCUCACUUGUCUGAAUUGUUUUUUCAUUGAGUUCUUGUCCUUGACAGGUAGUCAUAGUCAUGACCAUUUCUAGUCAUAUAGAAAGAAUAAAUGUUCUACUAUUAAUUAUAAUAGAAAAUAAAAAUUAGAGAUAUAUUCUUACUAUAAAUAUAGAAUGAUUGGACAUUUAAUACAUAAGUAUCUUAUUUUAGAAUAUUUUAUUAAAAUAUUCUAAAAAAAAUAAGAAACUACAAGCUGAGGCUCGUGAAUUUCAUAUCAUAGAUGUAUCUAUAGAUUCAAUUGGUAUUGAUGAUUUAGAGGCUUAUAUGAAUGACAAAACCUCUAAUGAUGAAUCAAAUGGUGCGCUCAUUGAUUCUGCAAUAACACAUACUAUCCUCCAAGAUAAUAUCUUGAUAGACAAUUUUUUAUUGAAAAAUCUUCAACUUGGCAAACUAAAAAUAUGAUGACCUUGGCUAAAGCAAAUGCGUUUUUUUUCCAAGAGGACAUAGCGAUGGUAAAAUUACCUGCGAGUUCUAUCAUAAAAUAUAAACAUGCGAUGUUUGCACUCUUAGUACCUUAGAGUUUGAUCAGCUACCAAGAUAUGUGUAUUAAUAGUUAUCACCUCUCGAUCGCCAUUUUAAAUAAAAAAAGAUAUUUUGGUUCUUGCGAAGAACCAUGAAGUUGUUGAAAAAGCUUUUCCUACAGAAAAUGGUUUAUAUCAAAUUACGAUUCGAUCUUCUGUUAUAUUUAAUUUUGCAUCAUCUAUCAUAGAGAGUCAUGCUUCUCUCUAGCAUGGACAAUUGAAACAUCCAGGAUCUACAUUAUUUAGAAAGAUCAUUCCAUGUAUAAAUAGAUAUAAUUUAAAGCCUAUGGAUAUAGACUCUAUAAAAUUAUGUCGUGCAUGCGUAUAAGGCAAGAUGAUUAUUCGCCCUUCAAUUUGAAAACUCCUACAAGAAUUACUACCAAUGCUUGAAAGAUUGCAUCGUGAUAUUUGUAAUCCUAUUAAUCCAAUAUCAGGACCAUUUCAUUAUUUUUUAGUCAUUGUUGAUGCAUCAAGUAAACAAUCACAUGUUUCAUUAUUAUCAAUCUAAAACAUAGUGUUUGCCAAUAUUAUAUCUAUGAUUAUUCAUUUUCGAGCAUAUUUUCCUGAUUAUCCUAUAAAAACAUUACAUAUGAAUAAUGCGAAAGAAUUUGCAUCAAAGUCUUUUGAAGACUAUUGUACUGCAAUAGGAAUUGAGUUGACAUAUUGUGUUCCAUAUGAACAUGCUCAAAUUAGACUUGCGGAGUCAUUAUAAAGCAUAUACAACUCAUUACUAGGCCACUCUUCCUUCACACAAAUUUACCAACAUCUAUGUGGAGUCAUGCAGUUUUACAUGUUGCAACAUCAAUAUGCCUCUGUCCUUCUUUUUUUAAAAUUGUUUCACCACAUGAGCUCAUUUUAGGUCGUGUUCCAAAUAUAUCUAACUUACAAGUAUUUGGUUGCCAUACUUGGAUUCUAGUACAAGAACUUCAAUAGCAUACUCUUGAAGUUCAUCGACAAGAAGGUAUAUAUGUUGGUUUUGAUUCAUCAAGCAUUAUUCAUAUUCUUGAUUUAUCAAUUGGCACAUUAUUACAUGCAUGUUUGUAAAAUUAUUAUUUUGAAGAGAAUAUAUUCUCAUUUCUUCAAAGAAGAAUAUCCAAUCAACAAAGAAAUAAAGUACUUGCAUUUGAAGCACCCAAAAUAUUUAGAAUGAAUCCUGAUUCUAGGACAUCUUUGGCUAAAAUUAAAGUUGUUAAGAUUUUGCAUCUAAAAUGGAUCGUAGAUGAAACACCUGAUGGCUUCAAUAAUGGAGUUAGAAUUACAAGAGUUCUUAUUAAUGAUGCUUAGAAUACACCUGGUCUUAUUGCAGUGCCACUAACUACAAUACCUCAAGUUAUAACAACAACAACUAAAAGAACUUGUGAAUCAAAUAAGCAACCAUGUAAGAAGAAAGCUAUAAUAUUGACUAAUUUUGAUAUUAUUUCUCAAGAAAUUCUCACUCAUCUUGCAGAACCACCAAUUCAUGAUGAUAUAUCCAUGCAUAAUGUAUACCUUCAAUUCUUGUGAAAAAUAAUCUUGUAAUUGGAAGGAAUAAGAACAAGUUGAUUAAAGAAUUAUCUAUUCUGUAUUGUGCUAUAAACGAUAUUUGGGACAAACUAUCUAUUAUGGUAGAUGAAUCAUUUGCAUGUAUGAUUAUAGAAGCUCUUUCUUGCGAGAAAGACGAUCUUAAACCUCAAACCAUCGAGGAAGCAAUGCAUCGCUUUGAUUGAUCAAAAUAAAAAAUUGCUAUUGAGGAGGAGUAUACUUCUUUGCGUAAGAUGAAAGUCUUUGAUUCCAUUGUAGACACUCUUACAUCUCACUCUGUGUGAUAUAAGAUGGUAUUAAUAUGCAAGCAAGAUGCUUAGGGUCAAAUAAUCCGCUAAAAAGCCCGUCUUGUUGCUCAAGGAUUUACUCAACGAUUUGGUAUUGAUUAUAAAUCCACAUAUUUUCUAGUCAUGGAUUCAAUUACAUUUUGAUAUAUUAUUCGAAUGGGAGCUCAUGCCACCCUUGAGAUGCAUUUAAUGGAUGUGGUAACUGCAUAUGUAUAUGGUUCUCUUGAUGCAAGUAUUUAUAUGAAAGUUCCACUUGGCUUAGAAAUAGAAAUUCUAAAUGAACCUGCUCUAGGACAAUAUCAUGGUAUUAAAUUAUGUAAGGCCUUGUAUGGUUUAAAACAAUCCAAAUGCAUGUGGUAUCAAUGUCUUUGAGAUUAUUUAAUUUCACAUAAGUUUGUAAGUGAUCCACUAAUCCCUUAUUUAUUUAUCAAACAAGAUAAAAGUGGUUUUGUGAUCAUCGCUAUAUAUAUUGAUGAUUUUAACCUAAUGGGUAUUAAAUCUGCAUGUGUUGCAACUACUAAUCUACUUAUAUGUGAAUUUGAGAUGAAAAUGCUAAGAAAAAUAACUUUCUACAUUGGUCUUCAGAUUAUGCAUCUCACACAUGGUAGCAUUUUUUUUCUACCAACUAAUAUAUAUUAGCCAAAUCUUAUAGAGAUUCAAUAUGAUUAAUGCUUAUCCAUUGCCUAUACUAAUGGUUGGACGUGGUCGUGAUAGUCAUGAUCCAUAUCGUCCAUGUAAGGAGGAGGAGGAGGAAAUAUUGAAAGAUCAAUAUUCAUACCUUACAGCAGUUUGAGCACUUUUAUAUUUGGCUACAUCUACAAGAUCAAAUAUUGCAUUUGCAGUUAGUAUUCUUGUAAGACAUAGUACACAUCUAAUAUUUUGACAUUAGAAUGGCAUCAAACAUUUAUUACGUUAUUUAAAAGAUAUUGAAGACUUGGGAUUAUACUACACAUAAUCUGCAAAUCCAAAAUUGGUUGGAUAUUGUAAUGUGGCAUAUAAAUCUGAUACUACAACAACUAAAUUUCAAACAGGAUAUGUAUUUUUAAGACAUGGAGUUGUAAUGUCAUGGAAAUCAGUGAAACAAAUAAUAACUACAAGUUCAUCCAACCAUACAGAAAUUAUUAUCUUACAUGAAGCAUCUCAAGAAUGUAUUUGAUUGCGAUCAAUUGAUAAAUUCAUUCAAACAACCUGUGGAUUUUCAUAUGAUGAUUCUCCAACUAUUUUGCAUGAAGACAAUAGUGCUUGUAUUGCACAGAUGUAAGUUGGUUUAUUAAAGGCGACAUGACAAAGCAUAUUGAUCCAAAGUAUUUUAGUUAAUAUCCAUGACUUGAUUACUGAUCAAGCACUUAUAAUUAAAAAAAUUGAAUCUGCAAAUAACCUUGUUGAUCCCUUCACCAAAGCUCUUCCAUUAUACAACCAUCAUUGACUUAUUUAUGGCAUUGAUAUGCGAUGACUUGCUUUUUUUGGAUAAGAAAGUUAAUGAACUCUUUAAAUAAUUAAGAAAAAUGAUGUAUUCUUUUUCCUUCAUCUAUGGUUUUGCCCUUUAAUACAAUAAGAUUUUCCUAGAUAAGGGUUUAAUGAGGCAACAAUUGUUGAACUUGUCAAAUUACAAAAAAGUAUAGAUCAUAAUUCUAUACAAAUUUUAUAUUAUGUAAAUAUUGUGAUGAACGAGGAGUGUUGGGAGCAUUAAAUGUAGCCAACACUCUCAAUGAUAUUUACUGUAGUCAAUACUAUAGCUACAUUAUUUGAAAUGUAGUGGAGAGGAACUGUUUAUCUUCUCCCCUUUCCCUCUUGUAUACAAGACACAUCUAGAUCAAUAGACUUUUGCAUGAAACUCUCUUUUGGAAUUCUCUUGUAUGUGUGUAUGUUACUUACUACUAUUCUUUUCUUUGUAAACAACCGCAACAAAUUCAGUAGAUGCCAACCAGAUAUGAUUACAUAAGCAUAAACCUUCAAUUAAACCUACUACAUAACUCGUAACAGCCAUCAACUAGAACACACAUGCAACCAAUAUGCUGACAGACCUGCAUGUUGUAUAUUAUAGUGUGCAUCACUCCCGUGAGCAACAUCAAGACAUUAGAAAUAACUACUACUUAAACGAUCGGUAUGUAUUUAGUGUAAACAGCAAAAGUUGUAAGAAAACAUUACUUUCAAACUGAAAUGGAUGCUUUCAUGAGUUGCAGGUAGGAUAUUUGACACGAUGAACCCUAGUUCUUUCUGACAACUAGCUUAGUAGAUUUUUUGGUAAAAACUAUCAAGCAAGAUAUGAAGCUCAUGCAAUAACUGCAUUACUUCACAUUGUUGACAUUCAUCAUGAACGAUACAUGAUCCGAUCAUGUCGAAGAUUCAACACGCCCAUGCCUCAGUUGGACUAUGCAGGUCAAAAAUCCAGAAGAGAUGCUCUGUAAGCUUGAUUCGCAAUGCUCCCAAUUGCAGCUCACGAAAAAAUAUAAACAUACCGCCUUGAAUUGUAAGAAAUAAAGAGGUACGUUCGCGGAAAGGGGAAAAGAUAGCGUCAUCGUAACCAACCAGGAUCGGUCAACGCAGUAAUUAAAAAGUCAGCAUAAUCCCUCAGUUCCCUCCAUUCACAUAACUUUUUGAACAUCUCUAACAUGGAUAAAUGCGAGACAAAUCCCAUAAAUAGAUAAGGAUUCAUUCAAGAACGAGAUUUGAGACUAAAAACAGAAUUUCCCACGUUGCAUUCAAAACAAUAAAAAAGAUGCUCCAACAAGCGAUCGAUGCACCAAGCACAGAUUUCUAAGCCUUAACUGCGAACUUCCUCAUGGGGAAGUAAGCCUCCUUCUUCUCCUGCCUCUCGGUCUUCAUGGAAGCCUGCGUAUUCACGGGCAGAAUAUUAGCAGAUCAUUCGCUUUUAAAACCAUGAAACAAUUGCUCGAAGUAGGGUGAAGUAAACCCUGUGUAUUUGCACCAAGAAUAAAAACCUUCAGCAUUUUGAAGUCCCAAAAAUUUGAUAGGCCAAAUCUCGAAAACUCACCUG